AGUCAGCCUGUCCUUUGAAACUUUGAAACCAGGCAUUGACUUCUCUCUAGCUAUGAAAGUCCUAUGAAAGUCUUCUUCCAAUGCAAGACUGCUUUAUCUACACAGAAGACAUGUU
rnacentral:miRNA from 10 species